UACGUAGGGGGCAAGCGUUGUCCGGAUUCAUUGGGCGUAAAGAGCGUGUAGGCGGCCAGGUAGGUCGGUUGUGAAAACUGGAGGCUCAACCUUCAGACGUCGACCGAAACCAUCUGGCUAGAGUCCGGGAGAGGAGAGUGGAAUUCCUGGUGUAGCGGUGAAAUGCGCAGAUAUCAGGAAGAACACCCGUGGCGAAAGCGGCUCUCUGGAACGGUACUGACGCUGAGGCGCGAAAGCCAGGGGAGCGAACAGG
rnacentral:rRNA from 1 species